rnacentral:ncRNA from 2 species
GAUGAAUUGCAGGGGGACCGCGAGCGGUUGAGAAGGCUAAAACCUGACCCUUUGAACCUGUUUAUUAAGAUAAGCGUAGGAAGCAAUUAAAACUAUCUU